CAGUUGAGCGCUGAGGUUGGUACUUGUACCGACUGGAUGAGCAGCGAACGGGUGAGUAACGCGUGGGGAAUCUGCCUUUGAGCGGGGGACAACAUUUGGAAACGAAUGCUAAUACCGCAUAAAAACUUUAAACACAAGUUUUAAGUUUGAAAGAUGCAAUUGCAUCACUCAAAGAUGAUCCCGCGUUGUAUUAGCUAGUUGGUGAGGUAAAGGCUCACCAAGGCGAUGAUACAUAGCCGACCUGAGAGGGUGAUCGGCCACAUUGGGACUGAGACACGGCCCAAACUCCUACGGGAGGCAGCAGUAGGGAAUCUUCGGCAAUGGACGAAAGUCUGACCGAGCAACGCCGCGUGAGUGAAGAAGGUUUUCGGAUCGUAAAACUCUGUUGGUAGAGAAGAACGUUGGUGAGAGUGGAAAGCUCAUCAAGUGACGGUAACUACCCAGAAAGGGACGGCUAACUACGUGCCAGCAGCCGCGGUAAUACGUAGGUCCCGAGCGUUGUCCGGAUUUAUUGGGCGUAAAGCGAGCGCAGGUGGUUUAUUAAGUCUGGUGUAAAAGGCAGUGGCUCAACCAUUGUAUGCAUUGGAAACUGGUAGACUUGAGUGCAGGAGAGGAGAGUGGAAUUCCAUGUGUAGCGGUGAAAUGCGUAGAUAUAUGGAGGAACACCGGUGGCGAAAGCGGCUCUCUGGCCUGUAACUGACACUGAGGCUCGAAAGCGUGGGGAGCAAACAGGAUUAGAUACCUGGUAGUGCACGCCGUAAACGAUGAGUGCUAGAUGUAGGGAGCUAUAAGUUCUCUGUAUCGCAGCUAACGCAAUAAGCACUCCGCCUGGGGAGUACGACCGCAAGGUUGAAACUCAAAGGAAUUGACGGGGGCCCGCACAAGCGGUGGAGCAUGUGGUUUAAUUCGAAGCAACGCGAAGAACCUUACCAGGUCUUGACAUACUCGUGCUAUUCCUAGAGAUAGGAAGUUCCUUCGGGACACGGGAUACAGGUGGUGCAUGGUUGUCGUCAGCUCGUGUCGUGAGAUGUUGGGUUAAGUCCCGCAACGAGCGCAACCCCUAUUGUUAGUUGCCAUCAUUAAGUUGGGCACUCUAACGAGACUGCCGGUGAUAAACCGGAGGAAGGUGGGGAUGACGUCAAAUCAUCAUGCCCCUUAUGACCUGGGCUACACACGUGCUACAAUGGAUGGUACAACGAGUCGCGAGACAGUGAUGUUUAGCUAAUCUCUUAAAACCAUUCUCAGUUCGGAUUGUAGGCUGCAACUCGCCUACAUGAAGUCGGAAUCGCUAGUAAUCGCGGAUCAGCACGCCGCGGUGAAUACGUUCCCGGGCCUUGUACACACCGCCCGUCACACCACGGGAGUUGGGAGUACCCGAAGUAGGUUGCCUAACCGCAAGGAGGGCGCUUCCUAAGGUAAGACCGAUG
rnacentral:rRNA from 1 species